GUUGGGGGCGGGGCAAAGACUGUGAUGUCACAGGGCAUGGGUCCUCUCUCCCCCAAUUUUUUUGGAGAAAAGUUCUUUACCUGUCUCAUCUCCCUGUAGCCUGUUGGACGCCGUCACGCCGUCAACCAAAAUCACACAGAUGGCUUCCAACGCUAUAAAAUAACAGCUAACCAAUCAACUAGCAUUUAUGAGGAAGAAGACCUGAGGCCUGGAGAGGUGAAGCAACUUUCCAUUGGCCAAACAACUAUUUGGUGACAAUUUAGAAAAUCAGAAUGACUGAUAUUUCAAAGAAAAGUUAACAGGGAAGACUCUUCAGGAGCAUUAGCCACUGACCCACCUGCGAGAAGGGAUUCCCUUGAUGGCAUCCUCGAACGCCUGAUGGAGGACU